rnacentral:rRNA from 1 species
AUCAUUACCGAGUUCUCAACUCCCAAACCCACUGUGAACUUAUACCUUUAUCGUUGCUUCGGCGGGUCUCGGCCCCGGCGCUGCCGCUCCCCUUGCCGGGAGGGGUAAGCCGGACAACACGGCCCCCGCCGGAGGACCCAAACUCUUGAAUUUUUCCGCGGACUGGCUUCGCGGCAGUUUGUAUUCUGAUUACUUCAAAACAUAAAUGAAUCAAAACUUUCAACAACGGAUCUCUUGGUUCUGGCAUCGAUGAAGAACGCAGCGAAAUGCGAUAAGUAAUGUGAAUUGCAGAAUUCAGUGAAUCAUCGAAUCUUUGAACGCACAUUGCGCCCGCCAGUAUUCUGGCGGGCAUGCCUGUUCGAGCGUCAUUUCAACCCUCAAGCACUGCUUGGUGUUGGGGACCGGCGAGGUCGUCUCUCUCGACGCGCCGCCCCCGAAAUGACUUGGCGGCCCCGUCGCGGCCCUUCCUCUUGCGUAGUAGCACACACCUCGCAUCGGGAGCCCGACGGCGGCCACUGCCGUAAAACACCCAACUUUCUCAGAAGUUGACCUCGGAUCAGGUAGGAAUACCCGCUGAACUUAAGCAUAUCAAUAAGCGGAGGAAAGGG